AUGACAACAGCACUUUUAGAUGUGAGACACAAACCUGCAGUCAGGAGGGAGGAGAGCAAUCAGAGGUCACAACAUCUGGUGCUUCUCUCCAUGCCUACCUGGGGGAUCACCUCAUCAUCUGUAACCAUAGCAACCGGGUCAGCUGGACCAAAGACACGGAAAGGGCUGAACAUCUUUGCAUCCAACAUGCUGUUUGUACAUCCUCGCCCCUUCUCCUGGCUGAGAUGAGAACGGAGGAAGCGAGGAGGAACACCGAGGAGAGAAGAGUCAAGGCAACAGGCAUUUAACAAAUUAAGAUGUCCUUGCUUUAGAAUCAACUUCUGCACAGCUGCAUCAUCUUCCCAUUAUUUUUCUUAUUGACUACCGCUGUAUUUUACUCUGUCAGGUGAGCAUAACAGUGUUCAUAACAGUAAUUAUAUAUUUACUGUUAAUUCAAUUCACAACUUGGAAUAAUGUGACAAGAAUUAAGUCUAUGGAUGUCAUAAUAAUGUUCCCUACUGCGCCAAACUCACUUUAGGAAACAGGACAUCGUAACAAUGCUUAACAUGUCUGUAACAACAAGGUACUCUAUCAUAAGAUAAAGUGUGUCAGAUGUCCACAGUCUUCUUGUCAAUUCAGCAACAAUAUAAUCCAUAAAGCUAAACUUUCUGACUAUUCUGUCGCUUGAAUUCGGUACAGUAUCAUGAGAGGCAGACCAUAUUAUUUCUCACUAUAAUGCUGGUGUUGGAUUAAAUAUAUGCAGAAUUAAACACAGACUCUGUUAUUAUGUGUGUGUUAGUAUUUAAGGGAUGUUGGCAAUUACCAUAGUAACUACCUGUAUGAAGGACAAUGAAAAGACUUCAGCAAAGGAAACACCUGUGUAUUCUCGCAUGAAAUGAUUGUAUACUUCACUGCCCUAUACCACUAAAUCCUAAACUCUGGUCCUUCAAACAGUUUUUUCUUAAAUUCUACACAAAGAAGCAGGAAAAUAUUUAUGAAAUGACUCCAUUUUGUGUUUCUUUCCUUUUAAAUUCUUAGAAAUCAGUCCCUGUCUUUAAAUAUAUAAUCAUUUGGUUGAUGUUUUGCAUGGUUAUACAUACAAAGGAAGGCUCCAUAAUCUUCUCUUCCCAACUUACUGAUAAAAUUGCACAUUCAAUCAGACAGCACAUACAGGCUUUGUGUUGUAAUCGUAAAAUAAAAUCUGAAUUUGUGGUUCUCAGUUUAUAAAUCACAAUAAAGAAGUCUGAUGAUGCAUUGCAUUGCUCUAUCUGUUAAUAUCUUUUCAUUAGACAGUAUCAUUAUCCUACCUGGUGCCUCUGUGCAGACCAGCAGUCCCAGUACCACAAAGAUAGACAUUAUAGAGUCUCUGACUGGUUUCCCUGUCAGACUACAAUAAUGUAUGGGUUCUGUUUUGCUCUAACAGACACAACACAGGGUUAAAGUCUUUUCAUUGCUGUGUUUUUCCGGUCAAACCACACACAGUUUAAGUGUAUUAACUUAAGAGUUACUAGAUUUUAUAUAUUUCAUCAAAGUUAUCUUAAGAAUAAUUUCAUCUUUGGUACCUGGGACAAAAGUUGUUUGAAGGAAGAAGAAAAUACUGUAGUUUGUAUAAUAAUGUAAUGUGUUUGUUGUGUUANUUCAGUUUUUGUUUCACUUUAACACUAGAAUUCAUCUUGAUGGCUAACUGCACUUGAAACCACUUCCUGUUUUCUGCUCUAUGAUUAACACCUCUUGCAUUUUACUGUGACAUUGUCCUUCCUGCUCUCAAGAAUAUAAUUGUUGGUUUGAUCUGCUAUAUAAUAAUUCCUUUUUUCUGAUAUUUUUCCAUAAGUCUCAGAAACUAACUGUUCAUAACAUCAUUUUUGGAAUGUGUUCUGCAU
rnacentral:lncRNA from 15 species